rnacentral:rRNA from 1 species
AGAGUUUGAUCCUGGCUCGAGGACGAACGCUGGCGGCGUGCUUAACACAUGCAAGUCGAACGGGGACUUCGGUCCUAGUGGCAAACGGGUGAGUAAGGCGUAAAUAACCUGCCUCAAAGAUGGGGGACAACAGCUCGAAAGGGUUGCUAAUACCGAAUGUUGUACAGUUAUCGCAUGGUGGCUGUAUUAAAGAUUUAUCGCUUUGAGAGGGGUUUGCGUCCGAUUAGGUAGUUGGUUGGGUAAAGGCUAACCAAGCCGACGAUCGGUAACCGGUCUGAGAGGAUGAACGGUCACAUUGGAACUGAGAGACGGUCCAGACUCCUACGGGAGGCAGCAGUGGGGAAUAUUCCACAAUGGAGGGAACUCUGAUGGAGCGACGCCGCGUGAGUGAAGAAGGGUUUCGGCUCGUAAAGCUCUUUUCUUGCAGACGAAUGGUACUUAAGGAGUACAGGGACGGUAUGUAAGGAAUAAGCCACGGCUAACUACGUGCC